rnacentral:rRNA from 1 species
CUUGCCGUAAACGAUGUAUACUAGGUGUAGCCGGACUCAACCCUGGCUGUGCCGUAGCGAACGCGUUAAGUAUACCGCCUGGGGAGUACGCUCGCAAGGGUGAAACUCAAAAGAAUUGACGGGGACCCGCACAAGCAGUGGAGCAUGUGGUUUAAUUCGAUGCAACGCGAAGAACCUUACCCAGGUUUGACAUGCAGAGGACGAUAUCAGAAACGAUAUUUCCCGUAAGGGUCUCUGCACAGGUGC